AUUGAACGCUGGCGGCAUGCCUUACACAUGCAAGUCGAACGGCAGCAUGGAAGAGCUUGCUCUUCUGAUGGCGAGUGGCGAACGGGUGAGUAAAGCAUCGGAACGUACCGUGUAAUGGGGGAUAACGUAGCGAAAGUUACGCUAAUACCGCAUACGACCUGAGGGUGAAAGCAGGGGAUCGCAAGACCUUGCGUUAUACGAGCGGCCGAUGUCAGAUUAGCUAGUUGGUGAGGUAAAGGCUCACCAAGGCGACGAUCUGUAGCAGGUCUGAGAGGAUGAUCCGCCACACUGGGACUGAGACACGGCCCAGACUCCUACGGGAGUCAGCAGUGGGGAAUUUUGGACAAUGGGGGCAACCCUGAUCCAGCCAUGCCGCGUGAGUGAAGAAGGCCUUCGGGUUGUAAAGCUCUUUCGGCCGGGAAGAAAUCGCACAGGCUAAUACUCUGUGUGGAUGACGGUACCGGCAUAAGAAGCACCGGCUAACUACGUGCCAGCCGCCGCAGUAA
rnacentral:rRNA from 1 species